rfam:Sphaeroforma arctica JP610 cont1.1847, whole genome shotgun sequence.
UGAGAAUUCGUCUAGGUGGAAAGACGCUGGAAUUUGAAUCCAUUAAGAGUGGUUCGAGUCCACUAUUCUCAU